rfam:Schistosoma margrebowiei strain Zambia genome assembly, scaffold: SMRZ_contig0000844
AUCCAGUUGACGAGUGUGAAAUAGGACUAAACACGCGUCCUGGAU